rnacentral:rRNA from 1 species
AUUGAACGCUGGCGGCAGGCCUAACACAUGCAAGUCGAACGAGUGGCGGACGGGUGAGUAAUGUCUGGGAAACUGCCCGAUGGAGGGGGAUAACUACUGGAAACGGUAGCUAAUACCGCAUACCAUCGGAUGUGCCCAGAUGGGAUUAGCUAGUAGGUGGGGUAACGGCUCACCUAGGCGACGAUCCCUAGCUGGUCUGAGAGGAUGACCAGCCACACUGGAAAUGAGGCACGGUCCAGACUCCUAGGGGAGGCAGCAGGGGGGAAUAUUGCAAAAUGGGCGCAAGCCUGAGGCAGCCAUGCCGCGGGUAUGAAGAAGGCUUGAGGGUGGUAAAGUACUUUCAGCGAGGAGGCGUUACUCGAAGAAGAAGCACCGGCUAACUCCGUGCCAGCCGCCGCGGUAAUAC